rnacentral:rRNA from 1 species
AUUGAACGCUGGCGGAAUGCUUUACACAUGCAAGUCGAACGGCAGCACGGACUUCGGUCUGGUGGCGAGUGGCGAACGGGUGAGUAAUGUAUCGGAACGUGCCCAGUCGUGGGGGAUAACGUAGUGAAAAUUACGCUAAUACCGCAUACGAUCUAUGGAUGAAAGCGGGGGAUCGCAAGACCUCGCGCGAUUGGAGCGGCCGAUAUCAGAUUAGGUAGUUGGGGGGGUAAAGGCCCACCAAGCCAACGAUCUGUAGCUGGUCUGAGAGGACGACCAGCCACACUGGAACUGAGACACUGUCCAGACUCCUACGGGAGGCAGCAGUGGGGAAUUUUGGACAAUGGGCGAAAGCCUGAUCCAGCCAUUCCGCGUGCAGGAUGAAGGCCCUCGGGUUGUAAACUGCUUUUGUACAGAAGGAAAAGGUUUCUACUAAUACUAGGAGCUCAUGACGGUACUGUAAGAAUAAGCACCGGCUAACUACGUGCCAGCCGCCGCCGUAA